GAUGAACGCUGGCGGCGUGCCUAAUACAUGCAAGUCGAGCGAACGGACGAGAAGCUUGCUUCUCUGAUGUUAGCGGCGGACGGGUGAGUAACACGUGGAUAACCUACCUAUAAGACUGGGAUAACUUCGGGAAACCGUAGCUAAUACCGGAUAAUAUUUUGAACCGCAUGGUUCAAAAGUGAAAGACGGUCUUGCUGUCACUUAUAGAUGGAUCCGCGCUGCAUUAGCUAGUUGGUAAGGUAACGGCUUACCAAGGCAACGAUGCAUAGCCGACCUGAGAGGGUGAUCGGCCACACUGGAACUGAGACCCGGUCCAGACUCCUACGGGAGGCAGCAGUAGGGAAUCUUCCGCAAUGGGCGAAAGCCUGAAGGAGCAACGCCGCGUGAGUGAUGAAGGUCUUCGGAUCGUAAAACUCUGUUAUUAGGGAAGAACAUAUGUGUAAGUAACUGUGCACAUCUUGACGGUACCUAAUCAGAAAGCCACGGCUAACUACGUG
rnacentral:rRNA from 1 species